rnacentral:rRNA from 1 species
ACUCAAAUGAAUUGACGGGGACCCGCACAAGCAGCGGAGCGUGUGGUUUAAUUCGAUGCGACGCGAAGAACCUUACCGGGGUUUGACAUGCACGCGCACCGCCCAGAGAUGGGCGUGCCCGCAAGGGACGCGUGCACAGGUGCUGCAUGGCUGUCGUCAGCUCGUGCCGUGAGGUGUUGGGUUAAGUCCCCCAACGAGCGCAACCCCUAUCGUCGGUUGUAUUUUUCCGGCGAAACUGCCCGCAAGGGAGGAAGGAGGGGAUGACGUCAAGUCAGCACGGCCCUUACAUCCCGGGCUACACACACGCUACAAUGGCUGGUACAAUGGGCCGCCAACCCGCAAGGGGGAGCCAAUCCCAGCAAAGCCAGCCUCAGUUCAGAUUGGCGGCUGCAACCCGCCGCCAUGAAGGUGGAGUUGCUAGUAACCGCAGGUCAGCACACUGCGGUGAAUACGUUCCCGGGUCUUGUACACACCGCCCGU